UACGUAGGUGGCUAGCGUUGUCCGGAUUUACUGGGCGUAAAGAGCGCGCAGGCGGUCGUUCAAGUCGAGUGUGAAAGCCCCCGGCUCAACUGGGGAGGGUCACUCGAUACUGAUCGACUCGAAGGCAGGAGAGGGAAGCGGAAUUCCCGGGUGUAGUGGUGAAAUGCGUAGAUAUCGGGAGGAACACCAGUGGCGAAGGCGGCUUUCUGGCCUGCUCUUGACGCUGAGGCGCGAAAGCUAGGGUAGCAAACGGG
rnacentral:rRNA from 1 species